rnacentral:rRNA from 1 species
UAGGGAAUCUUCCACAAUGGACGCAAGUCUGAUGGAGCAACGCCGCGUGAGUGAAGAAGGUUUUCGGACCGUAAAGCUCUGUUGUUGGUGAAGAAGGAUAGAGGUAGUAACUGGCCUUUAUUUGACGGUAAUCAACCAGAAAGUCACGGCUAACUACGUGCCAGCAGCCGCGGUAAUACGUAGGCGGCAAGCGUUGUCCGGAUUUAUUGGGCGUAAAGCGAGCGCAGGCGGAAGAAUAAGUCUGAUGUGAAAGCCCUCGGCUUAACCGAGGAAUUGCAUCGGAAACUGUUUUUCUUGAGUGCAGAAGAGGAGAGUAGAACUCCAUGUGUAGCGGUGGAAUGCGUAGAUAUAUGGAAGAAUACCAGUGGCGAAGGCGGCUCUCUGGUCUGCAACUGACGCUGAGGCUCGAGAGCAUGGGUAGCGAACAGGAUUAGAUACCCUUGGUAGUCCAUGCCGUAAACGAUGAGUGCUAAGUGUUGGGAGGCUUCCGCCUCUCAGUGCUGCAGCUAACGCAUUAAGCACUCCGCCUGGGGGAGUACGACCGCAAGGUUGAAAC